CAGUCGCCGCGGUAAUGCGUAGGUGGCAAGCGCUGUCCGGAAUUAUUGGGCGUAAAGCGCGCGCAGGCGGUUUCUUAAGUCUGAUGUGAAAGCCCCCGGCUUAACCGGGGAGGGUCAUUGGAAACUGGGAGACUUAGAGUGCAGAAGAGGAGAGUGGAAUUCCAUGUGUAGCGGUGAAAUGCGUAGAUAUAUGGAGGAACACCAGUGGCGAAGGCGACUCUCUGGUCUGUAACUGACGCUGAGGCGCGAAAGCGUGGGGAGCAAACAGGAUUAGAGACCCCCGUAGUCCCUGUCUCUUAUA
rnacentral:rRNA from 1 species